UUUUGAAGUUUUGGAAGUUUGGCUCGAGACUCAUGAUUUAAAUGGGGGUAAGCAUGCAGUGAGCAUAUUUAAUUUAGCCCAGAUCUGCCUGUGGUCCCUAAAUUCAAAUCUUAAUUGUGUCUUCGAACUGCCUUUCCGGUCAUUAAAAUUUGCCGGCAGGAAAUAA